AUGCAGGCCAGCGGCGAACUUGGUGCUCCACUCUUUCUCUCCCUCACUUCCUCCUCACUCAUAUUUUACUUUGCUAAUAUUUGUAUUUUUAAACUUGAGGUGUGCAGAUCUGACAUAGAAGACCACGUUCCUCAGGGAUCCCAGAAUCUAUUAGACAAUAUGGUAGUCCAAUGCUUUUUUGAAGUAUAUAUUGGCACUAUGCUGAAAAAGGACAUGGCAGGAAGUGAAGACAGCCAGUCAUCGCGCCAUAUUCCCGUUUGCUAUCAAACUCUCAAAAAGGAAAAACAAUGUUACUCUGUUUUUUGGAGAACCUUCCUGUAG
rnacentral:rRNA from 1 species